ACAGCACGAAGAGUGAUAUACAAACUUAAGACUAGAGAAAAACACAUUGGCUGUGGCGGUUCUGUAAUUGGAUUCUGUGAUGAAAACGCCUCCAGCUCCAGGAUUCUGGUCUGAAGGGAACUUUCUCUGGAGACGGCUUUGUCUUUGACUUUGGAAACCUCGGGAUGAGAUAAAUAAAGAUUAUGAGUGUGUCAAAAAGAAAACCACAUAUCGACAGGAACUCAUCCCCUAAAAAACACCAUCUUCAAUUCGCUUCUGUGCCUUUCCAUUCCCCUUCGGGGAACAUUGGUUCCACUUAAUAUGAACCUUUAUUCUGAGCAUUUGAAUUUGCUUCUAUGUACACAUACACUGGAUUUGAAUAAAACCAUAUGCUGAGUG